AUCGCUUGGUCUUGGGUUGGUCUAGCUCCGGCAGGGACAGGAUCACUGACCAGGGAGAAGGUGAAGGGGUUCGUUUAGCUCCGGCAGGGACAGGAUCACUGACCAGGGAGAAGGUGAAGGGGUUCGUUUAGCUCCGGCAGGGACAGGAUCACUGACCAGGGAGAAGGUGAAGGGGUUCGUUUAGCUCCGGCAGGGACAGGAUCACUGACCAGGGAGAAGGUGAAGGGGUUCGUUUAGCUCCGGCAGGGACAGGAUCACUGACCAGGGAGAAGGUGAAGGGGUUCGUUUAGCUCCGGCAGGGACAGGAUCACUGACCAGGGAGAAGGUGAAGGGGUUCGUUUAGCUCCGGCAGGGACAGGAUCACUGACCAGGGAGAAGGUGAAGGGGUUCGUUUAGCUCCGGCAGGGACAGGAUCACUGACCAGGGAGAAGGUGAAGGGGUUCGUUUAGCUCCGGCAGGGACAGGAUCACUGACCAGGGAGAAGGUGAAGGGGUUCGUUUAGCUCCGGCAGGGACAGGAUCACUGACCAGGGAGAAGGUGAAGGGGUUCGUUUAGCUCCGGCAGGGACAGGAUCACUGACCAGGGAGAAGGUGAAGGGGUUCGUUUAGCUCCGGCAGGGACAGGAUCACUGACCAGGGAGAAGGUGAAGGGGUUCGUUUAGCUCCGGCAGGGACAGGAUCACUGACCAGGGAGAAGGUGAAGGGGUUCGUUUAGCUCCGGCAGGGACAGGAUCACUGACCAGGGAGAAGGUGAAGGGGUUCGUUUAGCUCCGGCAGGGACAGGAUCACUGACCAGGGAGACGGUGAAGGGGUUCGUU